CGGACGGGUGAGUAACGCGUGAGGAACCUGCCUCAGAGAGGGGGAUAACACACCGAAAGGUGUGCUAAUACCGCAUAACAUAUGAGAGGGGCAUCCCUUUUAUAUCAAAGAUUUAUUGCUCUGAGAUGGCCUCGCGUCCAAUUAGCUAGUUGGUGAGGUAACGGCCCACCAAGGCGACGAUUGGUAGCCGGACUGAGAGGUUGAACGGCCACAUUGGGACUGAGACACGGCCCAGACUCCUACGGAAGGCAGCAG
rnacentral:rRNA from 1 species